rnacentral:rRNA from 1 species
GACGAACGCUGGCGGCGUGCCUAAUACAUGCAAGUUGAGCGCUGAAGGUUGGUACUUGUACCGACUGGAUGAGCAGCGAACGGGUGAGUAACGCGUGGGGAAUCUGCCUUUGAGCGGGGGACAACAUUUGGAAACGAAUGCUAAUACCGCAUAAAAACUUUAAACACAAGUUUUAAGUUUGAAAGAUGCAAUUGCAUCACUCAAAGAUGAUCCCGCGUUGUAUUAGCUAGUUGGUGAGGUAAAGGCUCACCAAGGCGAUGAUACAUAGCCGACCUGAGAGGGUGAUCGGCCAUAUUGGGACUGAGACACGGCCCAAACUCCUACGGGAGGCAGCAGUAGGGAAUCUUCGGCAAUGGACGAAAGUCUGACCGAGCAACGCCGCGUGAGUGAAGAAGGUUUUCGGAUCGUAAAACUCUGUUGGUAGAGAAGAACGUUGGUGAGAGUGGAAAGCUCAUCAAGUGACGGUAACUACCCAGAAAGGGACGGCUAACUACGUGCCAGCAGCCGCGGUAAUACGUAGGUCCCGAGCGUUGUCCGGAUUUAUUGGGCGUAAAGCGAGCGCAGGUGGUUUAUUAAGUCUGGUGUAAAAGGCAGUGGCUCAACCAUUGUAUGCAUUGGAAACUUGGUAGACUUGAGUGCAGGAGAGGAGAGUUGGAUUUCCCUGUGUAGCGGUGAAAUGCGUAGAUAUAUGGAGGGAACACCGGUGGCGAAAGCAGCUCUCUGGGCUUGUAACUGACACUAAGCUCGAAAGCAUUGGGAGAGAAAGGAAACAAUACCAUGGUGAUUCUUAGGACGAAUUCCACAAGGGAAGGCAGCGCGUGCGGCCGUCCGACCUCGCCGGGUGCCCCGUACCCCCCCUUGUGUUCUUUUUCACAAAAUAAUAAAAGAAAGAGA